rnacentral:rRNA from 1 species
UAGGCGUAAAUAGAUGCGAGUUAAGUGUGGGGGCGAUCUACGAGAUGGCCCUGUGCUGUAGGGUAGCCGUUAAACUCGCUGCCUGGGGAGUACGGUCGCAAGGCUGAAACUUAAAGGAAUUGGCGGGGGAGCACCACAACGGGUGGAGCUUGCGGUUUAAUUGGAUUCAACGCCGGAAAUCUUACCGGGACCGACAGCAACAUGAAGGCCAGGCUGAAGACUUUGCCGGAUUAGCUGAGAGGUGGUGCAUGGCGUAGUCGUGU